GGGCGUAAGCGCGCGUAGGCGGCUUGGUAAGUCGGAUGUGAAAGCCCAGGGCUUAACCCAGAGACGCCACUCGAUACUGCCAUGACUUGAGUUCGGUAGGGGAGCGGGGAAUUCCUGGUGUAGCGGUGAAAUGCGCAGAUAUCAGGAGGAACACCGGUGGCGAAGGCGCCGCUCUGGGCCGAAACUGACGCUGAGGAGCGAAAGCGUGGGUAGCAAACAGGAUUAGAUACCCUGGUAGUCCACGCCGUAAACGUUGGGCACUAGGUGUGGGCUCUAACCAACGGAGUCCGUGCCGUCGCUAACGCAUUAAGUGCCCCGCCUGGGGAGUACGGCCGCAAGGUUAAAACUCAAAGGAAUUGACGGGGCCCCGCACAAGCAGCGGAGCAUGCGGCUUAAUUCGACGCAACGCGAAGAACCUUACCAAGGCUUGACAUAUACCGGAAUAUGGCAGAGAUGUCAUAGCUGUAAAAGGUCGGUAUACAGGUGUGCAUGGUUGUCGUCAGCUCGUGUCGUGAGAUGUUGGGUUAAGUCCCGCAACGAGCGCAACCCUCGUUCUGUGUUGCCAGCAUUUAGUUGGGGACUCACAGGAGACUGCCGGGGUCAACUCGGAGGAAGGUAAU
rnacentral:rRNA from 1 species